GUAGUGAUGAAAAUCUUUACAUUGAUAUUUUAUGAUUUUUAAUCCUCUAAGAAGUCCUGAACCU
rnacentral:snoRNA from 1 species